rnacentral:lncRNA from 1 species
CACUAUUCACUGCCCAACAUUUAAUGUCUGUCUUCUUCCCCCCUAACUCUCCCAUUUAAGGAGCAAUACUGCAAAUGUGUUUGUUUACAAAAUCUUUGUGUGGAACAGUUUAAAUGAUUAUUUUUUGAGGCAUAAUUUAGGACAUCUGGGAAUAAAUUUGUGUAAACAAAUUCCUUUUGUUCCUUCUCCCUCAGCCCCCAAUCCUACACAGCAAUUGGACUUUAUCAUCCGGAGGCAAAAAAAAAAAAAAAAAAAACUGGAAUAUUUCAGCCAAAUGACACUAACCUGAGAAGAGUUUGCAUUUUCAGUCCAGCCACUGGCAUGACCUUUUGGAAUAAAGGUGACUCUGGACCAAUCUUGAUAAAAUUACUGUCAUUACAGUGGAAAAGUUUAUUUUUUUCCCCCUUGUCCUCAAAGCAGAAGACUGCGGCACGGCACCGUUUGUAUGAAGUUUGAAUUUGAGACUUGGUUGAACCAACAGCCAUGCUUUCAGAAGUUUCAGAGAAUGCAUCAACAAGGAAUUAGGGAAGUUGAUUGUGUGAGGACAUGAGAGUUUCCAAGACAG